UGGGGAAUUUUGGACAAUGGGCGAAAGCCUGAUCCAGCAAUGCCGCGUGUGUGAAGAAGGCCUUCGGGUUGUAAAGCACUUUUGUCCGGAAAGAAAUCCUUGGCUCUAAUACAGUCGGGGGAUGACGGUACCGGAAGAAUAAGCACCGGCUAACUACGUGCCAGCAGUCGCGGUAAUACGUAGGGUGCAAGCGUUAAUCGGAAUUACUGGGCGUAAAGCGUGCGCAGGCGGUUUGCUAAGACCGAUGUGAAAUCCCCGGGCUCAACCUGGGAACUGCAUUGGUGACUGGCAGGCUAGAGUAUGGCAGAGGGGGGUAGAAUUCCACGUUAGCAGUGAAAUGCGUAGAGAUGUGGAGGAAUACCGAUGGCGAAGGCAGCCCCCUGGGCAAUACUGACGCUCAUGCACGAAAGCGUGGGGAGCAAACAGGAUUAGAUACCCUGGUAGUCCACGCCCUAAAACGAUGUCAACUAGUUGUUGGGGAUUCAUUUCCUUAGUAACGUAGCUAACGCGUGAAGUUGACCGCCUGGGGAGUACGGUCGCAAGAUUAAAACUCAAAUGAAUUGACGGGGU
rnacentral:rRNA from 1 species